AUGGAAUCUGGCAAAACAACAAAAAAAGAAGCAAAAGUACAUGCAUCUGUAGAAACUCCAAAGUCAAAAGCAGGACUUGAAAAAAAAGAAGGAAAAGCAACAAAGGCAGCAGUGCAAGAUAAAUCAAAGAUGAAACAAGGAAAUCCUGGAAAAGAGAAAGAAUUAAAAUCUCCAGCUGCCACAAAAGAUAAAGGUAACACAGCAGGACGAAUUUGUAUAUAGCUGUAAGAUCUAUAUGCAUUUUAAAAAAAAACAACAAACCUUG
rnacentral:lncRNA from 1 species